rnacentral:lncRNA from 1 species
UACACCAGUUCUUUGUUUUUAUCAUCAGAACGUCUUCAUUCAUCAUCUCUGUUCUGAGUUAUUUCUGGGUUUGUUGCUGAUGUCAGCACUAAUCUACUCUAAUCUAAUCUAAUCUAAUCUAAUCUGGGGAUUACUGCUGGAGACCAGGACCUAAGGCUAUCAAAGUUGAGCUAGCCUGAAUCAAAAACAAAUCGCUUAUCAUCUUUGGUUCCCAAAACCAGCCGUUCAAGGCUAUCACAUCUACCACCUGGAUGUAUCACCCAAAGUUACUGUCAGAUUGGAAAAUGGCUUUGUAUCAACCAAGUGCCCCAACUGUCAGAAAGAACUGCAAUCAGAGGAGGCCCUGAAGUUUCACAUGGCGUAUCACCCAAAGUUACUGUCAGAUUGGAAAAUGGCUUUGUAUCAACCAAGUGCCCCAACUGUCAGAAAGAACUGCAAUCAGAGGAGGCCCUGAAGUUUCACAUGGCGGUGAGUAAAGUACCUGAUGAGCAAGAGCUCAUACACACUACAGAACUCACUCACACGUGCUGUCCCUUAAAGGAGAAGAAAACACUUUGUGGCACAUAUUGUGCAGCUGUUUGUUAAUAAAUGUGUCUGGCAUUUUGCAUCAGCAAAUUUAACCCUGAAUGGUCUAGUGAGUUAAAAAUAUAGAGAUUUAUAUUGUUUAUCACCAUCCCGCCUCCUGACCAAUCAGAUGUCUUAGAAAACGAGCUGUCCAAUAAAAGGAGGAUCAUUGUGAAAACGUCUCUGUGU